UUAAGCUAAUAAGAGCGCAGGGAGGAUGCCUUGGCAUCAGGAGCCGAUGAAGGACGCGGUAAGCUGCGAAAAGCUCCGGGGAGUGGCAAGCACACAUUGAUCCGGAGAUGUCCGAAUGGAGCAAUCCACAUGAGUGAAGCUCAUGUAUCAUAUACUGAAUAAAUAGGUAUAUGAGGGGAACCGUCUGAACUGAAACAUCUAAGUAGGACGAGGAAAAGAAAUCAACCGAGAUUCCGCUAGUAGUGGCGAGCGAACGCGGAAGAGGCUAAACCAGAGUCAGCAAUGACUUUGGGGUUUGGACUGCAUUUAGUAUCAAUGAGGUCUAGUCGAAGUACAUGGGAAGGUACAUCGAAGAGGGUGAGAAUCCCGUAGACGAAAGAUCAAGUUGGCGAGCAGUAUCCAGAGUACCGCCGGACACGUGAAACCCGGUGGGAACAUGGGGGGACCAUCCUCCAAGCCUAAAUACUACCUGAUGACCGAUAGCGCAUAGUACUGUGAAGGAAAGGUGAAAAGAACCCCGGGAGGGGAGUGAAAGAGAGCCUGAAACCCUGUGCUUACAAGCACACAGAGCACGUCAAAGUGUGAUGUGGUACCUAUUGUAGAAUGGUCCGGCGAGUUAUUUUAUGCAGCGAGGUUAAGGACUUAAGGUCUGUAGCCGAAGUGAAAGCGAGUGUUAAUAGCACGAAACAGUUGCAUGCAAUAGACCCGAAACCGGGUGACCUAUCCAUGUCCAGGCUGAAGUGAGGGUAAAACCUCAUGGAGGGCCGAACCGACUCCCGUUGAAAUGGUAGCGGAUGAGGUGUGGAUAGCGGAGAAAUUCCAAUCGAACCCGGAUAUAGCUGGUUCUCCCCGAAACCGUUUUAGGACGGGCCUCGUGUGAAGAUUAUCGGAGGUAAAGCACUGAAUAGCCUAGGGGGCGAGAGCCUACCGAAGCUUAUCAAACUCUGAAUGCCGAAUAAUCGUUUCACGGGAGUCAGACUGUGUGAGAUAAGUUUCAUAGUCAAAAGGGAAACAGCCCAGACCCACAGCUAAGGUCCCAAAGUGUAUUUAAGUGGAAAACGAUGUGAAGUUGCGUAGACAACCAGGAUGUUGGCUUAGAAGCAGCCACUCAUUAAAAGAGUGCGUAAUAGCUCACUGGUCGAGUGACUUUGCGCGGAAAAUUUAACGGGGCUAAAAUACACACCGAAGCUUGGGCUUGACGCUUUUGCGUCAGGGGUAGGGGAGCGUCGUGUAAGGGGCGAAGUCGUAUCGUAAGGGACGGUGGACUUUACACGAGUGAGAAUGCCGGAAUGAGUAGCGAGAAUUAUGUGAGAAUCAUAAUGGUCGAAAGCCUAAGGUUUUUGGAGGAAGGUUCGUCCGCUCCAAGUAAGCCGGGAGCUAAGGUCAGGCGGAAACGCGUAGCCGAUGCACAUACGGUUGAAAUUCCGUAGCCUCAGAAAGAUUUAAGCAGAGGGACACUUUGAAAGGACUGUAGCCGGGUGUUGGUUACCCCGGUCGUAAGGGAACGAAAUUAAGUAGUGAAGGCAGUCUGGACGGAGGCGAGAAAAGCUCUGUGUAUAUCUAAUGAGCCCGUACCGCAAACCGACACAGGUAGGUGGGAUGAGAAUUCUAAGACCAACGGGAGAAGGGUAGUUAAGGAACUCGGCAAAUUGUCCCCGUAACUUCGGAAUAAGGGGAGCCUGCGAAAGCAGGCCGCAGAGAAUUGGCCCAGGCGACUGUUUAUCAAAAACACAGCUCUAUGCUAAAUCGAAAGAUGACGUAUAUGGGGUGACACCUGCCCGGUGCUGGAAGGUUAAGAGGAGAUGUGAGAGCAUCGAAUUGAAGCCCCAGUAAACGGCGGCCGUAACUAUAACGGUCCUAAGGUAGCGAAAUUCCUUGUCAGGUAAGUUCUGACCCGCACGAAUGG
rnacentral:rRNA from 1 species